rnacentral:rRNA from 1 species
UACGGAGGGGGCUAGCGUUAUUCGGAAUUAUUGGGCGUAAAGGGCGUGUAGGCGGCUUCGUAAGUCUUGUGUGAAAGCCCUCGGCUCAACCGAGGAAUUGCACGAGAAACUGCGUGGCUCGAGUCCGGGAGAGGAUAGUGGAAUUCCUGGUGUAGCGGUGAAAUGCGCAGAUAUCAGGAAGAACACCCGUGGCGAAGGCGGCUUUCUGGGACGGUACUGACGCUGAGACGCGAAAGCGUGGGGAGCGAACAGG